rnacentral:rRNA from 1 species
AGUGGGGGAUAUUGCACAAUGGGCGAAAGCCUGAUGCAGCGACGCCGCGUGAGGGAAGACGGUCUUCGGAUUGUAAACCUCUGUCUUUGGGGACGAUAAUGACGGUACCCAAGGAGGAAGCCACGGCUAACUACGUGCCAGCAGCCGCGGUAAUACGUAGGUGGCGAGCGUUGUCCGGAAUUACUGGGUGUAAAGGGAGCGUAGGCGGGAAUGCAAGUUGAAUGUCAAAUCUAUCGGCUCAACCGAUAGCCGCGUUCAAAACUGCAUUUCUUGAGUGAAGUAGAGGUUGGCGGAAUUCCUAGUGUAGCGGUGAAAUGCGUAGAUAUUAGGAGGAACACCAGUGGCGAAGGCGGCCAACUGGGCUUUAACUGACGCUGAGGCUCGAAAGCGUGGGGAGCAAA